rnacentral:rRNA from 1 species
GUGUCAGCCGCCGCGGUAAAACGUAGGGGGCGAGCGUUGUCCGGAAUAAUUGGGCGUAAAGAGCGCGCAGGCUGUUAUCAAAGUUGGAUGUAAAAGGCAAUAGCUCAACUAUUGUAAGCAUGCAAAACUAGAUAACUUGAGAGCAAGAGAGGGAAGUGGAAUUUCCGGUGUAGCGGUGGAAUGCGUAGAUAUCGGAAGGAACACCAGUGGCGAAGGCGACUUUCUGGCUUGCAGCUGACGCUGAGGCGCGAGAGCGUGGGGAGCAAACAGGAUUAGAUACCCUGGUAGUCCACGCUGUAAACGAUGAGUGCUAGGUGUUGAGGGCUAAGGCCCUAAGUGCCGAAGGAAACCCAUUAAGCACUCCGCCUGGGGAGUACGGCCGCAAGGUUGAA